rnacentral:rRNA from 1 species
GGUCAAGUUAUUAAGGGUGCAGGGCGGAUGCCUUGGCACUAGGAGCCGAUGAAGGACGUGAUAAGCUGCGAUAAGCUUCGGGGAGUUGCACGUAAACUUUGAUCCGAAGAUUUCCGAAUGAGGAAACUCACUUAGAGUAAUGUCUAAGUAUCAUUAAGUGAAUACAUAGCUUAAUGAGGGGAACUCAGGGAACUGAAACAUCUAAGUACCUGAAGGAAGAGAAAGAAAUUCGAUUCCGUAAGUAGCGGCGAGCGAACGCGGAUUAGCCCAAACCAAUAAAGUUUUCUUUAUUGGGGUUGCGGACAUAUCAUAACGAAGAGGUAUCGUAAUUGAAGAGGUUUGGAAAGACCCACCACAGAAGGUAAUAGUCCUGUAUGUUAAACGAGAAGACUUUAGAUAUGAUCCAGAGUACCACGGGACACGUGAAACCCUGUGGGAAGCAGGAGGGACCACCCUCCAAGGCUAAAUACUACCUAGUGACCGAUAGCGUAUAGUACCGUGAGGGAAAGGUGAAAAGAACCCCGGGAGGGGAGUGAAAUAGAACCUGAAACCCUGCACUUACAAGCUGUGGAAGCACAUUUCUUGUGUGACCGCGUACUUUUUGUAGAACGGGCCAACGAGUUACGUUAAGUAGCAAGGUUAAGCACUUAAGGUGUGGAGCCGUAGCGAAAGCGAGUUUUAACUGAGCGUUCAGUUACUUGACGUAGACCCGAAACCGGGCGACCUACCCAUGAGCAGGAUGAAGCGAAAGUAAAAUUUCGUGGAGGUCCGAACCCACGAGCGUUGAAAAGCUCGGGGAUGACUUGUGGGUAGCGGUGAAAUUCCAAUCGAGCCCGGAGAUAGCUGGUUCUCCCCGAAAUAGCUUUAGGGCUAGCCUCAAGGUGAGAGAUACGGAGGUAGAGCACUGAAUGUCCUAGGGGGUAUUGCACCUACCGAAGACUAUCAAACUCCGAAUGCCGUCAUCUUAUACUUGGGAGUCAGACUGUGGGUGAUAAGAUUCAUAGUCGAAAGGGCAACAGCCCAGAUCGUCAGCUAAGGUCCCUAAAUGUAAGUUAAGUGGUAAAGGAUGUGGGAUUGCACAGACAACCAGGAUGUUGGCUUAGAAGCAGCCACUCAUUCAAAGAGUGCGUAAUAGCUCACUGGUCGAGUGAUCCUGCGCCGAAGAUUUCCGGGGCUAAAACUUACUACCGAAGCUACGGCAUCAGUAAUGAUGGGUAGGGGAGCUUCCCAUACGGGUUGAAGCAUGACCGUAAGGACAUGUGGACAGUAUGGGAGUGAGAAUGUUGGCAUGAGUAGCGAGAUGUGGGUGAGAAUCCCACAGGCCGUAAACCCAAGGUUUCCAGGGGAAGGUUCGUCCGCCCUGGGUUAGUCGGGACCUAAGCUGAGGCCGAAAGGCGUAGGUGAUGGACAACAGGUUGAUAUUCCUGUACUACCGAUAACCGUUUGAGAGAAGGGAUGACACAGUAGGAUAAGCUAAGCACACUGUUGGUUAUGUGUGCCCAAGCAUUGAGGCAGUCAAAGUAGGCAAAUCCGCUUUGAUAAUGCUGGGAUGUGAUGGGGAGCGAAAUUUAGUAGCGAAGUAGCUGAUUUCACACUGUCAAGAAAAGUCUCUAUCGAGGUUAAAGGUACCCGUACCGCAAACCGACACAGGUGGGUGAGGAGAGUAUCCUAAGGCCAGCGAGAGAACUGUUGUUAAGGAACUCGGCAAAAUGACCCCGUAACUUAGGGAUAAGGGGUGCCACCAUCAGGUGGCCGCAGAGAAUAGGCCCAAGCGACUGUUUACCAAAAACAUAGGUUUCUGCUAAGUCGCAAGACGAUGUAUAGGAGCUGACGCCUGCCCGGUGCUGGAAGGUUAAGGGGAUCUGUUAGAG